CCUCUGAGCCUUGAGUGUUUUGAUAGUUAAUCCUAAUAGUUAAGUCUAAUGAGUAGAAAGAAGCUCAUUAGUUAGUUAUAUAAGCCCAAUUAGAAACACAAGAGUAAGAAGGUUGAACGGAGUUCGUGGAGACGCGAUUAAGAGGAGGAGAACCAGAAUCUGAUCAUCUGAGAUGAUUGACCCGGAUUUAUAUCACGCUUGGAGUGUAUCCAGUUGCGGGUGGUUCUGUCAAUAGUGGUGAUGAUGGAGGUGUAAGGUUUGAAGCAUUGACGAUGGAUGUAGAGAGUUAGUUAGUUGCCAGACCACAAUAGAGAGUUUUGAUCGCCGCCUGAUUGCAGAGGACGCAAGUGGGGUCCACCAUUAAGCCACAUGAUAUCAGUCUGUCCUUUGAGGGGAUCCGGUUGAGCACAAUGAGCCAUGUUAAGAAGCUGUUCCUUGGGAUACCAGACCACAGAUGCCCAAGGAUUUGUUCCAAGAGAUCAAGUCGCGACAGCCUAGUCCACCUUCAGCUUUUGCAAGUGUAACUUUUUCCCCAGCAACUCUUGCUGAAUGGGAGCCAUCUGACGAGCCAUGCCAUAGGAAUGAGCUACAGAGGGAAUUGAUCCCUUUGAUGCAUUGCUUUGGGUAGCGUGUGUUGUUACAUGUAUAUAUGAAUACAAAAAAUAUCUGUCUUCGAAUGUGUUGUGUUACUAGUUCUCUACUCUCUACGUAUAUACUUGGAGUUUGUGAUUCUUUUAGCUCUUUUAAAAGUUCUGCAUA